rfam:Dendroctonus ponderosae Seq01021451, whole genome shotgun sequence.
CGGGGACGUUAAGCUAGCCUCUCCUAGGCUUUGUCUGUCCGCUGCAAACCAGACAUGGCCUAGCUGGGGUUAACUUUAAGCCCUUAA